UACGUAGGGUGCAAGCGUUGCCCGGAUUUAUUGGGCGUAAAGGGCGCGUAGGCGGCUCGGCACGUCCGUUGUGAAAUCGCCCGGCUCAACUGGGCGGGGUCAGCGGAUACGGCCGAGCUUGAGCAAGCUAGGGGGCAAUGGAAUUCCCGGUGUAGUGGUGGAAUGCGUAGAUAUCGGGAGGAACACCAGUGGCGAAGGCGGCGUCCUGGACCAACACUGACACUGAGGAGCGAAAGCCAGGGGAGCAAACGGG
rnacentral:rRNA from 1 species